AGUGAACGCUGGCGGUAGGCCUAACACAUGCAAGUCGAACGGCAGCACAGUAAGAGCUUGCUCUUACGGGUGGCGAGUGGCGGACGGGUGAGGAAUACAUCGGAAUCUACUUUUUCGUGGGGGAUAACGUAGGGAAACUUACGCUAAUACCGCAUACGACCUACGGGUGAAAGCAGGGGAUCUUCGGACCUUGCGCGAUUGAAUGAGCCGAUGUCGGAUUAGCUAGUUGGCGGGGUAAAGGCCCACCAAGGCGACGAUCCGUAGCUGGUCUGAGAGGAUGAUCAGCCAAACUGGAACUGCGACGCGGUCCAGACUCCUACGGGAGGCAGCAGUGGGGAAUAUUGGACAAUGGGCGCAAGCCUGAUCCAGCCAUACCGCGUGGGUGAAGAAGGCCUUCGGGUUGUAAAGCCCUUUUGUUGGGAAAGAAAAGCAGCAGGUUAAUACCCCGCUGUUCUGACGGUACCCAAAGAAUAAGCACCGGCUAACUUCGUG
rnacentral:rRNA from 1 species